UUGGACGUAAAAGAUGACUUUUCUUUGUGGAAAUUAUGAGAGGAACCUCUCUCCCACAAUCCUAAAUCAUCAUCAACUAAUUAAUAUCCUUCUGAGCUCCUCCCUCUUCCUCCUCCCUUCUCCUCCUCCUCCUCCUCCUCCUCCUUCUCCUUCUCCUCCAUUAUAUAAUUGUAUAAAUGCUCAAUAAAUAAUGAUAUGGCCAUGGGUGUCUUCACUGUGUUGCAGGAAGAGAGUCUUCUCUCUUGAUCCAUCGAUCCCCCAAUGUGUUUCUGUUACAUUGUUUGUGAUUAUUAUGGUUACUAUAUAAUUUGAUCACAGGCCGGUGAUGAUCAUGAUUGAUAUUAUUUCAUGUAUUUGCCAACAUCGUUUGAUCAUUUAUCAUGAUAAUUUGACAAACUCUUUGUGAUCUGAGGCCUCAUUUUUCGUUUUCAUUUCAUCUCAUAAUAUAUAUUCAAAUAUUUAUUUUAUUUAAUUAUAUUGUUUUUAUUUAUUUUAUUAUUCAUUAGAAUCAACACUCUACUUGAAGAAGAAAAAAAUUAAAACAUCAAAUACUCUCUGUCUCUUUCUCACCGACAAUUCUACAAAAGAAAAACAGUUCUCUGUAAAUCCUUUUCCCUCUCAAUUUCCUUAUCUUUGUAGUCAUAGCAAGGAAAAGUGUUUUUGGAAGCGUUCUCUCAAGAAGGUCGAGUUCAAUAAGUUGGAGGAACUGGAUGUACUGCUAUGGAUGAAAUGAUCAGGUUCAGCAGAGGUAUCUUUUCCUUCUCUUUCAUUUAUAAAUUAGGAUGAUCGAUUUUUCUAUAUCUAAUUGAAGGAUGAUACUAUCUAUCACCCGGAUAGAGCAACGAGAUUCAAGAAGGUGUUGGAAAUGGCUCGUGGACUUAAGCUCAUAAGCAAAGUUGUGAGAUUUAAAAGAUGUGAGAGGGUAUAUACUAAAGAAAGUUGAGAGACAAAAGUGCGUGGGUGAUGAUGGAAUAGAAUAACCCUGUCACCACAUGUGUGCUCUGCCGCAGCAGUCUGUUCGGAUGGGUUUGAGCCAAAAAGAGGUAAUUUUUGUUAACUAAAUUUGGACUCUGCCCUAUCUAUUGACAUCAUCUUAGCCAUUUUCUGGACAUUGUAAUUGGCAGUGGUUCAUCCACCAAUAGACCGUAGUUGAUAGUGGUUCAUCACAAACACCACAAUGUAUUUUGUUCAACAUUUUGAUCUUAUAUAUUUUUCAACAAAUUGAGACUUUUAAUUCGUUGUCAAAGAGAGAUGCCCAUGACAUUGUUGGUUCUUCAUCGGAGCUACUUGUGAUCAUGGUUGAUUCAUCAAGUCUCCUUCGUGACAAUUAUCGCGUCGUGAUUGAAGAUUGAAGAAGGAAGAAGUAUGAAGAAGGUGAAGAGAAGAUAAUUCUUUAUUAUUAAUAAACAGAUAUAUAAAUGACACUGUUUGAUCUUUAACUCUCCUCCCUAAUAAUAUUCUUCAAUCUAUUUUAGCAAACUCAAUUAUCAACUACAUGUUUUGUCACAGCACCAAGUUCUUAGUUUUACUUUUGUAGCCAUAUGUAUCACAAUUUAAUUCCAAUCUUGAUCUGUUUGGAAAUAAUUUAGUAGAUAUUUUACAUAUAUCCAAGUUCAUGACACAAAUAAUCUAACUAGUCUACUCUCUCCAUCUCCGUCCCCACCCAGUCGAAUCCAACUAAAAAAAUAUCUCUAUAAACAAAAAUGAACACGAUUCAAUUCACAUGAAAAUUGUACUAUCGUCCUAACUACAAUCAAAUUUUAUUAAGCUUUUUUUUUGUUAAUUAAUAGGUUGUUAAUAAGUUGUUAUUUGUCCAUUAUUAUAAAUACAUUUUUCAAAUGUAAUCUUAACUAAUUAACGAGAAUAGUCGGAUUGUCUCAUGUAAUUAGUUGAGAUGUUAGUCUACGCAUAUAAAACUAAUGAGAAUAUUCUUUUAUAAUAUAGAAUAUUUUAAAAGUAAUAAAAUAUCAAAAUUGGUUUUUUCUAUUUAUAACAAUCCCGUUUUAAAAAAUAAAUAAUGGGGGAAUCGAAAUCUCUGGAGAAUCCUAAAGAGUAGAGAGGAGCGGGUCAUUCUCGUAUUUUCCUACAAUGUUGUGGACAAACCCUAAUCUCCUCCACUAUAUAACUAAUCAAUCACACACAGCCUUCAUUCCUCAAACUCUUUUCUCUUCCAAUCCUCUUCUUCUUCUUCCUUUAUGCUUUUCAUUUUGUAUUUUCUAGCGAGUGAAGUAGAUCGCCGUGACGACUCAGUAAAAUUCAAGCUCAACAGACCGGAUUGCAGAGUAAUUUCCUCUUUCUUCCUUGAAUGAGUGAAACGUCUUUGCAUGUCGACUACCCCGCUGAACUGAGCCAUCUCUUCACUCGCCAUUUUUCUCCAUUCUGUUUGUUUUCAUUUCUAUUUAUUUUUGCUGAAUCAGGCCGGUGAUGAUUGAUAUUUUGAUUUGCCUACAUUGUCUGAUAAUUUUAUGACUGAGAACACUCUGUCUGAGGCCUGAAUCUGCUUUCAGUUCUUGCUCUGAUUCUUCAUUUUCUGAUGAUUUCCAUCCGUUUUCCAACGCGCUUUAAUUUCAUUCCGAUUUUCUGUUUCUUGAUUUAAAUGAUGAAUUUUCGAAAUGAAGCAAAAGCAUAGUCUCGUAUUCUUGGCUAACUUUAUUUCGAUUUCCUAUAAUCUCAUUUUCAUUAAAAAAAAAUCAACUGUGUUCUUGAUUUACUUUUCACUGAUGAAAUUUUCAUUUCGAUUCUUUUAGUGAUACAAUUAUCGAAAGAAAAAUUAAUCAUAGCCGCUGGAUUUGGAUUCAUAGUUAUGUAUACAACCCACAGAUAUCAUAGAAUUUCAACUGAUUUGCAAAACUUUAUGUGCUUUAGCUGUGUUAUUGAUUUUCUUCGCUGAUAGAAUUUCAUUCAGAUCACUGUUUUAGGAACUGAUAAAAUACAGGUUUAAACGUUGUCAUUCUUCAUCCUUGUUUUUUUUUGGUCUCUGAUCUUUUGAUCAAUGAAUAUUGGAUAACUAAUUUGAGGCUUUACGGUUGUAACCUUUAUUUUUUAUGAAUCUUCGUUUAUUUGUCAAUCAGCUGAGAUUUUUAUCCAAACUUCAAAUGAAUGUUGCUUCAUUACUGGAUUAACCAGAGUAAUAUUGCAAUUUUAAAAACAAUUUCAAGAAUCUUACCAAGUUCUAAGCUCUAAUUAAUGAUUGAUGCCUCAUUUGAUGAUAUUGUGCAUCUGCGUCCAUGGAGAGUUUAAUAUCCCAUUGAAGUCGUCACUGCUCGGUGUUUGGUGUUCAGAUUCUUGAAAUUGAGAAGGAUGCUUGUGUUUAUAUUGUUAACUCAUCUCUCCUCCAUUAAAAAUGUAAAUAAAGAAAUUGUUGGUGAAAGCAUACACACUAUAUUAGAGACAUUGAAAUGGCAGUCGAUUAGUCAUCCAGUUGGUAUGAUUCGAUUAACAAAAGAGAAGAGAACAAGGGAUAGAAUAUUUUUUCUUUUUAUUGAAGAUUUUAUAGUAUAGGAUUAGGGGUUAUUCUCUUUAUGUAAUCUAUAUAUUUGACUGAAAUAAUACCAAUUCCAACCUCAUUGAAUUGUAAAACUUAAUCACUAAAAUAAGUAUGUAUGAUAUGAUUUUCAACAAUUAAAAAAAUAGGGUAACAAGGUAAGGUUUGAAUUAUGAUUGGUUUUUUGUUUUUCAAGGCUUAACUCGGAUUUUGUAAACUGCACAGUAAGUGGAUAAUAAAACUUGAGAAACCCAUGGGAUGCAGAUGCAGUAAUACAAAAUCCUUCUUUUUAGAAAUAAGAAGUCAAUUGCUAUCAAUAUUGUAUUUGGCAAAUGUCUAAAGCUUAGGAAAUUUGUUGAACAAAACUCAAUCAAUUCUGAACAAACAAAAACGUUUUCUGCUUCCUACUUUUCGUUUUCUGCUUUUUGUUUUCUGUUUCAGGUUUCUUGUUUUUCUUUUUUUUUUUUCUGUUUCUCGUUUUAUUUUAUUUUUUUGUUUCUUGUUUCUGUUUUCAGCUACCUGUUUCCUGUUUUUUGCUUUAGGUUCUCUUCUUGUAGUUCAAAUAUUUCUCUAUUUUUCAAAAAAAAAAAAUCUUAGGUAUAGCCACAAUGGUUGAAAUUAAGAUUAGGGAAGAUUUAAAUAAUUUGUUUUGCAACGAUAAAAAAAAAUAAGAUUUGAAAAUGGUAGAAAUUUAAUCAAAGAUAAAAUUAAGAUUUUAUUGGAUCGAGUUUUAAAAAUGCGUUACUUUUGAAAAAAAGUAAAACAAUGUGCUAUUUUUAUUUAUUAAAAAUGUGUAACUUUUGUCAAUUUUCUAAACUUAUACAUAUAAGGAUUUUCAGAGUAUUGGUAUAUAUAUAUGAAUAAAUAAGUAUUGGAAUAUGGGAGUAUUUUUCAUAAACUAUUAAUAGUAGAUCAUAUUAUGAAAGAAUGGUACAAAUAUUCCUCGAUAGAUUUAGUUAUAUUUACACUAUAAUAAUAAAGGUGAUAGACUUGCAUGUUUGAUAGAAUUUGACAAAUUUUUUAAAAUGUUGUUAUAAAGUUAAUUAUUUUAAAUUUAACCGUUAAAUUUACAUCUAUACCUAAAUUCAUUUUACCAAUAUGGGCCUCACAAAAUGUCUCAUCUCUACAGCUGGGUCCCACCAACAACCGGUUCAAUCCGGGUCAGACCGUUUUUAACAACCACCGACCAAACUAAUUUAAAAUAACGAAGUAAACAAACCAAAAUCCAAAGAAGAGAAAGAAGAAAAAAGAUUGAAAACCGGUCCAAGUCAGUUGGUUCAUCUUGGUUUCUCAAAAUUUCCAUUAUUAUAAAUUUAAGAAAUAGAAAGCGAGAGAGAGAGAGGGGUGUGGAGCCAAAAUCAUAAUGGAAAGUGCUUUUAGUAAAACAAACCACUUUUACGUUUUGCUUUAUAAAAGGUUUAUAAGGUUAGAAUUCGGAAGCACUUUCCGUCCAACUGCUUGACUGGAAAGCACAUUACAAAAAAAACUGUUAUACCAAACGUCCAUCCCCCAUUCUAAUUUGAUGCUUCCUCCUCCUCCAUUCUCUUCCGCCCUAAUUGGUCACUUCUUCUUCUUCUUCUUCUUCCUUUAAUUGCUUUAAAUCAAAUCUAUCACUGCCUUCCUCUACUUUGCCUUCACCUACACCAUUGUUGACUCUCUCUUAAGAUCUUACCUAGCUGCUUCCACAUGAAGUUAUGGCUAUUGUGGUGAUGGUGGUGAUGAUGAUGGUGGUGGUGAAAGAUUACACCAAGUUUGUUUUUGAGUUGCUUGAAUCGUCCUACUCUUUGUUUCGACUCUUUCUUCCCAUGCUUGGUAUUGAAUGUUUUCAUCGAAUAUGUGCUACUUGAUUUUGAAUCUGUUGUUGAGGAAUCGUCUUGGUGACUUGGGGAAGAAGAGUCGUAGUCAUCAUUGUCAACGGUUUCACUUUCUGUGUUUUGUUGUGUUGUCCAACUUGAAGAAGAAGAAAAGGCUGAUUCAAACUCAGAGUUCGAGGAUUCUGAUUCUUGUUGUGGAGGCCUGAAGGUGGCGGCCUUGGAUCCUACUGAAGUACAUCCAGAUUUAGUCAUUGGAUUUACAACUUUGUGUUGAUUAGGUAUUACAUGGGUUUCAAUGAUUGGAGGUUUCAUUAUGGUCUCAUCAUUUCCUUGACUCCGAGGUAUUCUGAAACCAUGAACGAACUCGGAACUAUGCUGCGUCUCUAUUGGAUUAACUGGCUUAGUAAACCCUGUCCUUAAAGUUGAGUGAUCUGUUUUUGAGUGAACUUUCUGUUGGUUUAAUGUCUCAUUCCUAUGAAGAACACACUGGCAAUUGCCUCUUGUUUUCCUACUUUGGCUUGUGCAAUGUUGUAGGGACAAAAUGUGGAGUUCAAUUCUUCUGAGUGCUGAAAUAAUACCAUGAGGUAAAUCAUUAAAAGCAGUAUUUGAAGCUGA